UGGGGAAUCUUGCACAAUGGGGGAAACCCUGAUGCAGCGACGCCGCGUGAGUGAGGAAGGCCUUCGGGUCGUAAAGCUCUGUCAAAGGGAAAGAAGUGCAUGGUGGCUAAUACCUGCCAUGUUUGACGGUACCCUUAAAGGAAGCACCGGCUAACUCCGUGCCAGCAGCCGCGGUAAUACGGGGGGUGCAAGCGUUGUUCGGAAUCAUUGGGCGUAAAGAGCGUGUAGGCGGCUUGAUAAGUCAGAUGUGAAAUCCCUGGGCUUAACCCAGGAAGUGCAUUUGAAACUAUUCAGCUUGAGUAGGGGAGAGGAAAGUGGAAUUCCUGGUGUAGAGGUGAAAUUCGUAGAUAUCAGGAGGAACACCGGUGGCGAAGGCGACUUUCUGGCCCUAUACUGACGCUGAGACGCGAGAGCGUGGGUAGCAAACA
rnacentral:rRNA from 1 species